rnacentral:rRNA from 1 species
GAUGAACGCUAGCUACAGGCUUAACACAUGCAAGUCGAGGGGAAACGAUAGAGAAAGCUUGCUUUUUCUAGGCGUCGACCGGCGCACGGGUGAGUAACGCGUAUCCAACCUGCCCACCACUUGGGGAUAACCUUGCGAAAGUAAGACUAAUACCCAAUGACGUCUCUAGAAGACAUCUGAAAGAGAUUAAAGAUUUAUCGGUGAUGGAUGGGGAUGCGUCUGAUUAGCUUGUUGGCGGGGUAACGGCCCACCAAGGCGACGAUCAGUAGGGGUUCUGAGAGGAAGGCCCCCCACAUUGGAACUGAGACACGGUCCAGACUCCUACGGGAGGCAGCAGUGGGGAAUAUUGCACAAUGGGCGCAAGCCUGAUGCAGCCAUGCCGCGUGUAUGAAGAAGGCC